rnacentral:rRNA from 1 species
UACGUAGGGGGCAAGCGUUAUCCGGAUUUACUGGGUGUAAAGGGAGCGUAGGCGGCCAUGCCAGCCAGGGGUGAAAGCCCGGGGCCCAACCCCGGGACUGCCCUUGGAACUGCAUGGCUGGAGUGCGGGAGGGGCAGGCGGAAUUCCUGGUGUAGCGGUGAAAUGCGUAGAUAUUAGGAGGAACACCAGUGGCGAAGGCGGCUUACUGGACGAUGACUGACGCUGAGGCUCGAAAGCGUGGGGAGCAAACAGG